CCCGCGCACCACCACCCGCUCACCGCGCAGACCCCAUCGCUGGCGUGCAGCAGAUCCACCCCUAGUCCAUCUCCGGUGACUCCCGAGCCCUUAAGGGUCGCUCUGUCUUCUAGAUGGCCUCGAGGGCAACCAGUUCUUCCUCAACCUCACCAAAUCUAGUAUGAAUCCUCCGUCUCUCUCAAUCUGCGUGUGUAGGUGCUUCCUCACCUCAUCUCGUCUCUUUCCCAGAUCGACAAGAUCUCACUCUCCACCUCGCUCCCCACCCAGCGGCUCAGUCGCAUCCGCUUCUCUCACCAUGGGGAGUUUGACCAGAAGCAUGGCGAGUUUGACCAGAAGCAUGGCGAGUUUGACUAGAAGCAUGGUGAGUUUGACCAGAAGCAUGGCGAGUUUGACCAGUGGCCGGAGGUCUAUCUUCCGGUGGAAUCCCUGAGAUCCAAGGAGGAGAGGAAGAGGAAACAGGGGGUCGCGUCUUCAGAUCCUCCUGGUCCGGUCACAGUUGUCACAGCAGCAACGACCGAAAGCAGCAGCUCUUGAUCCCUUUCUUUGCCACAUUGGCCUGUACCAGACUGUUUCUGCACAAGAGCGGCUUGGAAAGAAAUCAAAUGGCUUGUUUGGUAACUUUGGUUAGGAUGAAUGUUCAGCAUAUACAGAACUUGUAUGAAUCGCUCGUCCACGCAUGAUUUACUUUUCUGUUCGGAAGAAUAAUUGUGUGUGACAAGCAGGAAGGCCGAGCCAGUACCCUGGGCAAGCUGCCUGGGCUCUCACUCCAGGCGAGCUGGUGUUCCGGCUGCCGAGGGGAUGGGUUGGAAGAACGAGCAAGAUUCGUGAUGGAACCGUCCGGUUCAGGAGCAGCAGAACCGGGCGAGGACGGCCGCGACCAAGAACCGACCCAUGAGCGCUCCUACGCCCCCUCCAAUGGAGCCGGACCCGCGGUGGCGGAGACGAGGGAGGCGCCCAACUCGUUUGGACUGGAGUGCGUUCCUGAGCGUUUCUUGGUUUCCUCUUGCGCAGUUCAACUCGUUGCGCGCGGGAGAGGCGAUGCAUAGGAAGGAACGGGUAUGAUCUUACUGCUCGCUCGCUCUCUUGUGAUUUGUUGCCAAAUCUUUCUGGUGUGAUAGCAUGCUUUGCACUUGAUAGGAGACGUUUCUUGAUUUGUCUAUUUGGUGUGAUAGCAUGCUUUGCACUUUUGCUGCGAGUGAAAAAUGUGGGGAUCAUGUCUUGGCAGUGCUUGCUGUCAUAUUUUGGCAA